GGGGGUUUUAAGCAGAUAUCAGUUUUUGAUUGUAGGUUAUUCUUCAACUUUUUUUUGUGUCAACUACACGUACCAAAAAUGAUUGCCUACCUUUUUCCGGUUGGUGUUCCUUGCUCUGCCUCUUGGUAAACACGUUUCGUUCCCUGGCAGUGCAUUGCCCCAUAUACGACACGUAAUACGUAUAUAUGAGAAUGUUAUUAUACUUAAAGGGACAACAUAUUGAAGUAAAAUCAAGUAUGCACCGUACAAUGUACGAAAGUUUUCUGAUGGCCAUUUUACUACGCACAUUUUCCUCUCCGGUAAGUCCUUUAAUUUAAACAUACUUUCAAUUGUAUGGAAUAGCGCAUAUGGUACAGCUGAUAGUGUACUAACAAGCCAUAUUAUUAAUAACACAACAAUUGCCACAGUUUUGCGAAAGCCGGCAUGAAGUGGAUGUAGGACAGCAAUAUACCUAUCAAUG
rnacentral:lncRNA from 1 species